rnacentral:tRNA from 1 species
GUCCCCGUAGUUUAACGGAAAAAAUGGAGGCUUGCGGAGCCUCAGAGUGUAGGUUCGAUUCCUACCGGGGACGCCA